GUGAGCGGACUGGAGAUGUCUUCGUCAUCUACCAGGCCGGCGUGUUCCCGGAGCAGCUCAGCACGGUCCAAGCAUAGCGCUCGCAUCGUCGCACAGACCACGCUAGAUGCUAAGCUGCACGCGGACUUCGAUGCCUCCACUUCCGUGGGAGCGGAGAACAGCGAUGCUCCGACUGCGUUGGUCUCCGCUUAUCUCCAGCAGAUGCAGCGCGGGCAGUAUAUCCAGCCGUUCGGUUGCAUUCUGGUUGUGCAGGAGAGUACGUUCGCUGUCAUCGCCUACAGCGAGAACGCCCCCGAGAUGCUCGAUCUAGCGCCUCACGCCGUCCCCAGCAUCGAGCAGUUGGAGGCUCUGACGAUCGGC
rnacentral:misc_RNA from 1 species